rnacentral:lncRNA from 1 species
CCCCCAGAGCACCCCAGGGCUCACACAGCUAUGAAUGUGUGUCAACAAGCCUGCCCCUAAAAAGACCGAGAGGAGAUGGUGCUUUGGUUUCCACCGAAUGCCAGUGUCUCCUUACAAAGGAUGUGCUGGACUUCAGUGCUCCCCUGUUCUGAAGGGCUUUGAAGAAAUAGCUCUUCUAUGCUCUCCAUGGAUCUUGGACACAACUCCAUGGCUGCUAGACCAUGGGAAAGCCUGUUACGGCUGGAUCUGACAGUUUCAAGGACGUAGCAUUCUUUUUUCCUCCCUGAAGAAUCCAUCUAAUAAAACCUGGAGAGCUAAAAAGAACAGAUACAGCCUUGUGGCCAUUUCAGCUACUCCUCCAGGUAGCUCUGAUGCUGCGUCGCUUCUAAGCACACUGGCAACAAACAUGGCAGCAUCCACCUCCUCUGAAUGAUGAGACGGGGAGAGAGCAAUGUCAUGUGACCAUGAGAUGGUGAUUCUCUUUGGAGACUCCACAGAAGCCCACAGAGGCCAUGAGCGAGAAGCACAAGAUGCCCACAGGAAUGAUGCAGGCAGGGCUGAGGCUCAUGUUAACUGAGCACCUUCUGCUGGGCACCCAGCCAGAGCAACACUUCCUGCUUGAAUGACUUCAUCAGGUUAUUAACCCAGAUGCAUGAGACCCUUUGUCUCCUUCAGAGUAACCUGAUUUUGCGGUUCCCUGGGUUCUGGAGUUUGUGCCUUUGCCUGUAGGUGAGGUCCUGAGCCUGGAAGACUGCAGGCAUAUUGACAUGGUGGUGUUAUACCGCCACCAUGGGGGCACUGCUGGAAUUUCAAGGUACUUAGAAAGCUUUGUUCUCGUCUCUAAUGUCCACGUUCAGAAGUGAAAGUGAGCACGUUAAUUUUACGUUAUGUCGUUCAACUCAAGUACUAUGAAAGUUAUAAUUUAUCAAAAACCAUAAGGACACAACCUGCCUGUGGAAAGGCUCUGGA